UGCAGAAUCCCGUGAACCAUCGAGUCUUUGAACGCAAGUUGCGCCCGAGRCCACUAGGUCGAGGGCACGUCUGCCUGGGCGUCACAC
rnacentral:rRNA from 1 species